GGCCGCUUGGCGUAAUGGCAACGCGCUAGUUUCCGACAUAUGGUCGUUCGCUAGAGAUUGUGGGUUCGAGUCCCAUGGUGGUCG